AAUUCCUGUCAUGGGAUUUUGUUGUACAGAUUAUUUCAUCACUCAAUGUAAGGAUGACUUAUCAAGAAACUUUCACACAGCACAGGUAUGCACAACAGAGUUGAAGAGCUUGAAAUGCAGAGAGUACAUCUUGGAUCUGAGAGUACCCUUGAGCUCCGUGUUCAGCAAGAAAGCAGUGAGCGCCAUGGGCUCUGUGGUACUGGCAUCAGGUUACUCACCUGUCUUGGAGCUUAUCAACGAUCUACUUUACAUCUCAUAUUUGAUACCAGAAACUGCUAAAAAUAAAAUCAGAUCAAGUAAAACAGGAAUAAAGGGGUUUAUUGUGCCUACGGCAUCAGGUUACUCACCUGCCUUGGAGCUUAUCAAG
rnacentral:lncRNA from 1 species